rnacentral:rRNA from 1 species
AGUGAACGCUGGCGGCAGGCCUAACACAUGCAAGUCGAACGGCAGCACGGGAAGAGCUUGCUCUUAGGGGGGGGGGGACGGGGGCGUGAGAGAUCUACAUCGGACUCGACGUUGGGGAGGGGGAGACGGAAGGGAAAUUAACGCCAAUACCGCACACGACCUAAGGGCGAAAGCAGGGCGGCUCCGGACCUUUCGCGUUGGAAGGAGGCGAUGUCGGAUUAGCUAGGUGGUGGGGUAAAGGCCUACCAAGGCGACGAUCCGUAGCUGGUCUGAGAGGAGGAUCAGCCACACUGGAACUGAGACACGGUCCAGACUCCUACGGGAGGCAGCAGUGGGGAAUAUUGGACAAUGGGCGCAAGCCUGAUCCAGCCAUGCCGCGUGUGUGAAGAAGGCCUUCGGGUUGUAAAGCCCUUUUGUUGGGAAAGAAAAGCUUCACGUUAAUACCCUCGUGUUCUGACGGUACCCAAAGAAUAAGCACCGGCUAACUACGUG